GGUUAGUAAACACACACAGAACUGUUUUUUUCUAUCAUGUGAAUUUAAGGACUUCUAAUAUUUUCCUAAUAAAACUUUUCAAAAAUAUGUAUUUCAUGAGAGUGUCGGGCAAGAAGUAAUACUGUCUUCAAGUGAAACCUGUCUGAAAAUGACAAGUCAUUCAUCUCUUCAUUAACUAAAGACUGCUAAUAACAGAAAAGCAAAAAGCUAUAUACCCUGGAUUUUUUUAGAUGACAAAUUCUGGCACUUUGUGCUAAGGUUUAAGGUAAUUAUCAACUCAUUUUUCCCUACUACAUAGAAAUAUAAUAUUCCCUAGCACACAGAAAUAUAAUAUGCAUAGCAUUUUAACUAUAAAACUAUAACAUGACAAGAAUCCUUUAUUAAGAAAAUGUCCUUAUCACAAAUAUUUCAGAUUAAAAAAAUGGUUUUAAAAGUUGAAGCACAUUAACUUGGAAAAACAAAUUCCAAACUAAACACAAAUGUCAUUUAAGCUCUAGAACCACAAGGGCACACUAAGAAAGUUAAACAAAAAUAAGGAAGGGAGAGGACACAGCAAAAUGAUCUCUUAAGGGUCUUCUGAACCUUUAAGAUACAGCUAGAAUCCUUUGAGUGUCAGGAUAUAUGCUAAUGAUUUUGCUUUCUUUCAGAUGGAAAUGAAUUAAUGUCUUUUACUUUAGACAUAGUAUUUUGAAAUAACUGUUGGUUUGCUGUGUCUUGCCCAUAAAAAUCAUAUGACUAAUACUCCAGCUUCAAAAAAUGAGGCCCAGCAAGCAAAAAUAACGUGUCAUCCAAC
rnacentral:lncRNA from 1 species